AUUGAACGCUGGCGGCAGGCUUAACACAUGCAAGUCGAGCGGGGGAAGGUAGCUUGCUACCGGACCUAGCGGCGGACGGGUGAGUAAUGCUUAGGAAUCUGCCUAUUAGUGGGGGACAACAUCUCGAAAGGGAUGCUAAUACCGCAUACGUCCUACGGGAGAAAGCAGGGGAUCUUCGGACCUUGCGCUAAUAGAUGAGCCUAAGUCGGAUUAGCUAGUUGGUGGGGUAAAGGCCUACCAAGGCGACGAUCUGUAGCGGGUCUGAGAGGAUGAUCCGCCACACGGGGACUGAGACACGGCCCAGACUCAUACGGGAGGCAGCAGUGGGGAAUAUUGGACAAUGGGGGGAACCCUGAUCCAGCCAUGCCGCGUGUGUGAUGAAGGCCUUAUGGUUGUAAAGCACUUUAAGCGAGGAGGAGGCUACUUUAGUUAAUACCUAGAGAUAGUGGACGUUACUCGCAGAAUAAGCACCGGCUAACUCUGUGCCAGCAGCCGCCGUAA
rnacentral:rRNA from 1 species